AGCUCAGAGAAUGAUUGUGAAAAUUAAAUAAUACUUUUCAAGGGCUUCACGUAGCAUCUCCUCACUCCAAGAGAUCCAAAUGGGUCAAGGACCGUGAUCGUUUGACAACGCAAACUUCGAACCUGAUAUGUGCACAGCAGCACACGUUUGCUGGGGGCAUGAAAGCCUUCUGCACUGGAGAAAUGAAAUUCCACACGCACUGCAGAUUUACAAGGUAAAAGUUGUUGAGAUUUACAACAGCUAGAAGCCUCAAGACUGAAACUUUCUCCUCCAGGAAGCUGCUGUUUUCUUUUCCUCUCCUUUAUUUGAAAUACCUAAUAAAGAGAAAUUCGCAUACACCUAAA